GACAGAGGUGCCGAGCGUUAGGCGGAAUCACUGGGCUUAAAGCGUGUGUAGGCGGGUCGGUAAGUGUCUUGUGAAAUCCCCCGGCUCAACCGGGGAAUGGCUGGGCAUACUGGCGAUCUUGAGCAGUCUAGGGGCAGAUGGAACAAGUGGUGGAGCGGUGAAAUGCGUAGAUAUCACUUGGAACGCCAAAGGUGAAAACAGUCUGCUGGGGACUUGCUGACGCUAAGACACGAAAGCCAGGGGAGCGAACGGG
rnacentral:rRNA from 1 species